CUUGCCCUCAGAGUUCACAUAUGGUUAAGUGCACAGGUGUCCAUCCAGGUUCAUGCUGAUGCUGGUAACAAGAGGAAAACAUGCUGAUUGGAAUGAUUCAACGAUGGACACUUUGCUUAAUUGUGGAAAAAAUAAAUGGAAAAACGUCUAUGA